rnacentral:rRNA from 1 species
CCUACGGGAGGCAGCAGUGGGGAAUUUUGGACAAUGGGCGCAAGCCUGAUCCAGCAAUGCCGCGUGAGUGAAGAAGGCCUUCGGGUUGUAAAGCUCUUUUGUCAGGGAAGAAACGGCAGUUUCUAAUACAGAUUGCUAAUGACGGUACCUGAAGAAUAAGCACCGGCUAACUACGUGCCAGCAGCCGCGGUAAUACGUAGGGUGCAAGCGUUAAUCGGAAUUACUGGGCGUAAAGCGUGCGCAGGCGGUUUUGUAAGUUUGUCGUGAAAUCCCCGGGCUCAACCUGGGAAUGGCGAUGAAGACUGCAAGGCUAGAAUCUGGCAGAGGGGGGUAGAAUUCCACGUGUAGCAGUGAAAUGCGUAGAGAUGUGGAGGAACACCGAUGGCGAAGGCAGCCCCCUGGGUCAAGAUUGACGCUCAUGCACGAAAGCGUGGGGAGCAAACAGGAUUAGAUACCCUGGUAGUCCACGCCCUAAACGAUGUCUACUAGUUGUCGGGUUUUAAUUAACUUGGUAACGCAGCUAACGCGUGAAGUAGACCGCCUGGGGGAGUACGGUCGCAAGAUUAAAACCNCAAAUGAAAUUGACGG